GGUUCGAUAGCUCAGUGGUAGAGCGAGAGAUUGCAGUCAUCCUCAAAUAUCUCUAGGUCACGUGUUCGAACCACGUUCGGACCU